rnacentral:rRNA from 1 species
ACGAACGCUGGCGGCGUGCUUAACACAUGCAAGUCGAACGGAAAGGCCCCUUUGGGGGUACUCGAGUGGCGAACGGGUGAGUAACACGUGAGUAACCUGCCCUUGACUUCGGUAUAACUUCAGGAAACUGGGGCUAAUACCGGAUAGGAAUCCUUGCUGCAUGGUGGGGGUUGGAAAGCUUCGGCGGUUUUGGAUGGACUCGCGGCUUAUCAGCUUGUUGGUGGGGUAGGGGCUUACCAAGGCUUUGACGGGUAGCCGGCCUGAGAGGGCGACCGGCCACAUUGGGACUGAGAUACGGCCCAGACUCCUACGGGAGGCAGCAGUGGGGAAUAUUGCACAAUGGGCGGAAGCCUGAUGCAGCAACGCCGCGUGCGGGAUGACGGCCUUCGGGUUGCAAACCGCUUUCAGCAGGGGCGAAGCUUGUGGUGACGGUACCUGCAGAAGAAGCACCGGCUAACUACGUG